UGUCCCCACGCAGGGUCCCCGCAGAGGUCCCUCCCCAGCAGAACCGCCCCAAGCAGAGAUCAGCGCCCGCAGUGGUGGGCUGCAGGUGCCCUGCCCCGACAGGAGCUGUGCCCUGCCCCGGCAGGAGGUGGGCAGGGGGAAUCGGGGGAAGCAGGGGCUCUGCUUGGGCGAGGAGAACAGUUAUCAUUAAUGCUUGCUUUCUCUUUGCUUAUCUUCUCAAAAUGCUCAGCUCACGCAUCCCCUCGGGAGAGAGGACAGCAUGAUAUAUUGAGGGGCCCUCUCCAUCUCAGUCCUGGCCUUGUAAGACCCCUAUCCCCAGGAGACCCCACUCUGGGGUGCUUUCUCCCACGUCCAGCCCUGCACAUCAGGGCUGCUCCUUGGCAAAGCCAAGGACUUGGCCGCCGCCUCCUUCCUGUGUCUCAGCAGGGUGAGUCAGUGCCUCGCCGUGCCCAGAGCCAGCUCUGCCCGGAGCCUGGUCACUGCCAAGCCGGAAUGGGGGACAUCCACUGCGCCCUUUGCUGUAGCCGGCAGGGAGUUUCCAGUGUCUGUGGUGUGUCCCGCCUGUCCCGUCCUCAGCGUGUUCCUCUCACUGUCUGCAUAACAAAAGAUAACUGGCAAAGCUUGCCUGCCCCGGGCCAAAAGGUUAGAGGGGACAGAAGUGGCGCUGAAGAGUCUCCACUUCUGCCCUCGCCCUUACCGCGAAUGCCCAGGUCACGAGCCCAGGGUGGAAUGUCACCUCUUCUCCCCACGACACGGAGUCCAGCUCCAGCCAAA